AUAUUUGUAGUAUAAUACAUUACAUUAGCUUUUCGUGCUAAAAAUUUGACCGCUCAACAAAUAUA
rnacentral:tRNA from 1 species